rnacentral:rRNA from 2 species
UACGUAGGGUCCAAGCGUUAAUCGGAAUUACUGGGCGUAAAGCGUGCGCAGGUGGCUUGUUAAGAUCGAUGUGAAAUCCCCGGGCUCAACCUGGGAAUGGCAUUGAUGACUGGCUCGCUAGAGUACGGCAGAGGGGGGUGGAAUUCCACGUGUAGCAGUGAAAUGCGUAGAGAUGUGGAGGAACACCGAUGGCGAAGGCAACCCCCUGGGCUGAUACUGACACUCAUGCACGAAAGCGUGGGGAGCAAACAGG